rnacentral:rRNA from 1 species
GCCUAGAGAGAAGCUUGCGGCUGAUUAGCUUGUUGGUGAGGUAAUGGCUCACCAAGGCGACGAUCAGUAUCUGGUUUGAGAGGACGAUCAGACACACUGGAACUGAGACACGGUCCAGACUCCUACGGGAGGCAGCAGUGGGGAAUUUUCCGCAAUGGGCGAAAGCCUGACGGAGCAAUACCGCGUGAGGGAUGACGGCCUAUGGGUUGUAAACCUCUUUUUUCAGGGAGGAAUAAAUGACGUGUACCUGAGGAAUAAGCAUCGGCUAACUCCGUGCCAGCAGCCGCGGUAAGACGGAGGAUGCAAGUGUUAUCCGGAAUCACUGGGCGUAAAGCGUCUGUAGGUGGUCAAAUAAGUCAACUGUUAAAUCUUGAGGCUCAACCUCAAAAUCGCAGUCGAAACUAUUAGACUAGAGUAUAGUAGGGGUAAAGGGAAUUUCCAGUGGAGCGGUGAAAUGCGUAGAGAUUG